rnacentral:rRNA from 1 species
AACGAACGCUGGCGGCAUGCCUAACACAUGCAAGUCGAACGAGACCUUCGGGUCUAGUGGCGCACGGGUGCGUAACGCGUGGGAACCUGCCCUUAGGUUCGGAAUAACUCCCCGAAAGGGGUGCUAAUACCGGAUAAUGUCUUCGGACCAAAGAUUUAUCGCCUUUGGAUGGGCCCGCGUUGGAUUAGCUAGUUGGUAGGGUAAAAGCCUACCAAGGCGACGAUCCAUAGCUGGUCUGAGAGGAUGAUCAGCCACACUGGGACUAAGACACGGCCCAGAAUCCUACGGGAGGCAGCAGUGGGGAAUAUUGGACAAUGGGCGAAAGCCUGAUCCAGCAAUGCCGCGUGAGUGAUGAAGGCCUUAGGGUUGUAAAGCUCUUUUACCCGGGAUGAUAAUGACAGUACCGGGAGAAUAAGCUCCGGCUAACUCCGUG